UCACAAAUCUCGCAAUAAUUCAUAGGAUUUAAUGAGUUUCACAAAAGUUGGAAGAGUAUUAUUCAUGAUCGAGAGUGAUUUUUCAGAAAACUUAUUUAAAGAACUCAAACAUGUUAAGAGUAAUCUGAAUUGAGAGGAACAAUAUAACUUGCGGAAUAUAUGAAGAGACAGUUCUAAAUACCUCUAGACAUUGAAAAACUUGAUAUCGGGAGAGGAGAUGUGGACUUAUUUUAUUGAACCAAUUCUCUUGGGAUUGUUGUAACAGCGUUUGAGAAGAGGUAAAGGGAUAUUCAGUAACAGAAUAUUGAAUAAAAUUUAUGGAGAAUGAGACAUGUGAAACUCAUGGAGAAAGAGAAGUGUGAAGGUGAUGGAGAAGGAGAUGUGUGAAACUAAUGGAGCGUAGACGUUUUUAACGUGUUAAGUUGAUGGGAAAAGGAAGAUUUUUAACGUGUGAAACUGAUGAAGGAAAAGAGUUUAAAUUGUGAUAGAUGAUUAAAAAAACAUAUGAAACUGAUAUAGAAAGGGGAUAUUUAAUCGUUUGGGAUUAAGGUUAAAAAGAAAGGACAAUACUACCCUUAGAGCGAGCUACUGCCCUUCUUUCUUCCCUUGUACUACAACGAUGAUGCAACAGAUAAAUUUUCAUCCCCAGGCUAUGAUUUACACCCUUAUACCCUCCCGAAACAUAUACGAAUCAUUCCAAGUGGAUUUCCAACAAAUUUGAAGCAUAACAAGAUCAAUUAUGCAGCCAUGACACCUCCACUUACUACUAUGACUUAAGCUUAAAAUAUGAGGUAUAAUAGUACACUAAGAAGUGUUUAGCUUACUUUUGUGAUGGUUUUUCUUAUCUUUCUUUUUUAUUUUUACCAGGAAACUUAUAAGUUUAUAAGUUAUGUUUUAGAGGUUUAAUGUUUUAGGCAAAACAUAGCUGGGAAUCUUCUUGUUGGCAGCUAUUGUUGUUUCUCCAACUAGGGGGGUAGGGCUGCUGCUUCUUGAGCUGAGGGUCUAUCUGGAACACCCUCUCUACCCCUGAGUUAGGGAUAAGGCUUAGAAGGGGCUACUGCUGAUGUGCAUUGUUAUGAUGUUUUGACAAAUAAAUGAUCUAGGUACGUCUUAAUUGUAAUAGUGACAAGCUACUUUCUAGUGCUAGUUAGAAAAUUGGCAUAAUGUUACCAGCUAAGACCUUGUUAAUUUCAUCUUCUCUUCAUGUCCCUUUUCUACUCAAGAUGCGUUGAGUUUUCUUCUUGUUGGUAGAAAAAAGCUUUGUAAUUCCAUCUAAGGAGACUUGAAAAAGUUUGGAUGUUGUGUCCCUUUCUUACAAUUCUGUUUCUUACUUCUUUUUA